rnacentral:rRNA from 1 species
CGUGAUGGGGUGGCCGCAAGGCUGGAAGCAACUGAUUUCACACUGUCAAGAAAAGCCGCUAGCGAGACCGUAGGUGCCCGUACCGCAAACCGACACAGGUAGAUGAGGAGAGAAUCCUAAGGUGAGCGAGAGAACUAUUGUUAAGGAACUCGGCAAAAUAACCCCGUAACUUCGGGAGAAGGGGUGCUCCGGAAACGGAGCCGCAGUGAAAAGUCCCAGGCGACUGUUUACCAAAAACACAGGUCUCUGCGAAAGCGAAAGCUGAAGUAUAGGGGCUGACGCCUGCCCGGUGCUGGAAGGUUAAGGGGAUGUGUUAGGGCAACCGAAGCACUGAACUUAAGCCCCAGUAAACGGCGGCCGUAACGAUAACGGUCCUAAGGUAGCGAAAUUCCUUGUCGGGUAAGUUCCGACCCGCACGAAAGGCGUAACGAUCUGGGAACUGUCUCAACAAUAGACUCGGUGAAAUUGUAGUACCGGUAAAGAUGCCGGUUACCCGCAGCAGGACGGAAAGACCCCAUGGAGCUUUACUGUAGCUUGAUAUUGAGAUUCGGCGUUGCAUGUACAGGAUAGGUGGGAGACUGCGAGGUAAGUACGCCAGUAUUUACGGAGUCACCGUUGGGAUACCACCCUUGUAACGUUGAGUUUCUAACAUUGCGCCGUGAUCCGGCGCAUGGACAGUGUCAGGUGGGCAGUUUGACUGGGGCGGUCGCCUCCUAAAGAGUAACGGAGGCGCCCAAAGGUUCCCUCAGUGCGGUCGGAAAUCGCGCGAAGAGUGUAAAGGCAGAAGGGAGCUUGACUGCGAGACAGACAAGUCGAGCAGGGACGAAAGUCGGGCUUAGUGAUCCGGUGGUUCCGCGUGGAAGGGCCAUCGCUCAACGGAUAAAAGCUGCCCUGGGGAUAACAGGCUGAUACCGCCCAAGAGUUCACAUCGACGGCGGUGUUUGGCACCUUGAUGUCGGCUCGUCUCAUCCUGGGGCUGAAGUAGGUCCCAAGGGUUGGGCUGUUCGCCCAUUAAAGAGGUACGCGAGCUGGGUUCAGAACGUCGUGAGACAGUUCGGUCCCUAUCCGCUGUGGGCGUUGGAGAUUUGAGUGGAGCUGUUCCUAGUACGAGAGGACCGGGAUGGACGUAGCUCUGGUGCACCAGUUGUUCUGCCAAGGGCAUCGCUGGGUAGCUACCUACGGACGGGAUAAGCGCUGAAAGCAUCUAAAUGCGAAGCCCCCCACGAGAAAAGAUCUCCUCCAA